rnacentral:rRNA from 1 species
UUCCUACGGGGCGCAGCAGUGGGGAAUAUUGCGCAAUGGGGGAAACCCUGACGCAGCAACGCCGCGUGCGGGAUGAAGGCUUUCGGGUUGUAAACCGCUUUCAGCAGGGAAGAUAAUGACGGUACCUGCAGAAGAAGCCCCGGCUAACUACGUGCCAGCAGCCGCGGUAAUACGUAUGGGGCAAGCGUUAUCCGGAUUUACUGGGUGUAAAGGGAGCGCAGGCGGCCUGGCAAGCCUGAUGUGAAAUACCGGGGCCCAACCCCGGGGCUGCAUUGGGAACUGCCAGGCUGGAGUGCCGGAGAGGC